GCCCCUGUAGCUCAACUGGACAGAGUGGUGGCCUUCGAAGCCAACGGUUGCAGGUUCGAAUCCUGCCAGGGGCGCCA
rnacentral:tRNA from 1 species